UGGCGGCAGUAGCGCGGUGGUCCCACCUGACCCCAUGCCGAACUCAGAAGUGAAACGCCGUAGCGCCGAUGGUAGUGUGGGGUCUCCCAUGCGAGAGUAGGGAACUGCCAGGCA
rnacentral:rRNA from 2 species